rnacentral:piRNA from 1 species
UCUCAGGUUGACGUGCCUUGAUGGGCUGCC